AAUACCGCACUCUCUUUGGUUACCUCGUGCACCGUAACAUUGGCAGGAGGACCUGGAGAAUCUAAAACUUUGACAACAAAGAUGAUAGCCAAUGACUCUGCUUCCUCCAUCACUGACUGGCUCAUGCCAUUGUACUUCCAUGCUGUCCUUAGAGGAGAAUGUGACGAACGGUGUGCCAGGUGGACCAGGAACCUUGAAUGGAUACUGGGCAACAAUGGGCUCUGAAUUGAGGUUCAGACUGUACAGGUUCUCCUUUGCCAUAAUGAUUUACAGCGGAGACACGGAAGAUGUACUCAUUUCCCUGGAUAAGCUUGGUUACCACAUGCCUGCAAGACUGAAUAUCUUCAGCAACCACUGUCCACAAAAGUCUGCUGGUUUCUCUCUUUUCAAGAACAUAGGAUUUAAUUGGUGAUCCACCAUCUUCCAAGGGAGGUGUCCAUAAAUAAUUGGAAGGAGCAUUGACAUAAAGCUGUAGGAUAAGAACAAACUAAAUACCUGUAAUUGGAGAGCCACCAGUCUUCUUGGGGUCGGUCCAGUUCAGUGAGUAGGUCUCAAGAGUGCACCUUUGAAGACAAUAAGAUGUCUGGGGAGGGCCUUACCGACAUCAUCCUUUGCCAUGACUGUGAUUUCGCUUGGGGUGCCUUCUCCAUUGUCGUUCUCAGCGCACACUCUGAAGGUUUUCUGUUGACCUUAGUCCAGUUCACUGCCUGCAUUUCUCGCUUCUCAAGUAAAUAGCCAGUGAUGGGAGAGCCACCAUCAUCUGCUGGGGGUUUCCAGCUCACAGUCAUGUGAUCUUUGGUUAUGUUGCUAAUAACAGGAGGAUCACAGCGUCCAGAUGCAGGAGGACCUGGCUUAUCUGAAAAAUUAAGGAGGAAAGUUGAAGCCUUUCACUAAUAUACUUGGAAUGGAGAAUAAGUACAGAAUAGAAGUUUGGACACCUGGGCUGCAGGCUUUAUGUUAUCAUUAACUUCCUGUAUGAGCUUGAAGUUGCACAUCUACAGAUGAAUAUAAGGAACAUGUCAAUUUGCGCUUUCAGUAAGAGUGGAAAGAAAACAUUUCUUUUCUCCUUGAAAAACACAUACCAAAUGGGAACUUAGCAAGCAUCUUUGGAGAUGUGAGAGGCUCUGAAAUUCCAAAUCGAUUUUCAGCACGGACCCGGAACAUAUACUCCUGGCCUGGGAU